rnacentral:rRNA from 1 species
UACGUAGGGGGCAAGCGUUGUCCGGAUUUAUUGGGCGUAAAGAGCGUGUAGGCGGCCAUGUAGGUCCGUUGUGAAAACUCGAGGCUCAACCUCGAGACGCCGAUGGAAACCAUGUGGCUAGAGUCCGGAAGAGGAGAGUGGAAUUCCUGGUGUAGCGGUGAAAUGCGCAGAUAUCUGGAGGAACACCGGUGGCGAAGGCGGCAUCCUGGACCGACACUGACGCUGAGGAGCGAAAGCCAGGGGAGCAAACGGG